CGUAAUCACAAAAAUAAAAGAGAUGAAGUCACAUCAAAACAAACUCUAAGAUACUAAUUUUUCUUAGACUCUCGCUCAUUUAAAAGGGAUUAUACUCUUUUUCUCUCUACUCAGGUGCGUUUUGUUUUUAAUAAUCAAUCCAACACACAAAAUAUUUCAGUUUUUUUCCUCACAUAAUUUCUAAUGAUUAGUAUUUCUUGUUCUUUUUUUUUCUUUAUGAAGAUAGAAGUGGAUAGAAGUGUAAUGAGAAGAAUGUUCUUUUUGCAUGCAAUCUCUCUCUCUCUCUCUCUCUCUCUAAAGUAGUUCACACAAGAUUCCACUGGCUAUUUCUUACAUUUAAUAAAAUAUUUCAUCUUAUUUUUUUUACUCAUUAUUUGCUUUUAUACACAAUUACACUUUUUUCUUUUUUAAAUCUCUCUUUGUGUUGUUUUUUUUCUUGUAAUGAUGCAGGUCAACAGUAGUUACAGCAAAAAUCUCACAUAAAAGGAGACAUUCAGGAGACAUUUAGAUUUUUCUUGUUAUUUUUGUUUUUUUUUUCUUAAUCUUUGCCAUUGAGUUUAAACAGGUAUCGUAAGAGUUUCAUUAAUGUGUACAUUUUAGUUUUAAAAGAUGUCUUUAGAAUUUUUUGUGGGCUUUGCUCUUUUUUGUGUAAUUCCUUUUGUAAGAAAAAAAAAUCUUCUCAAAACUCGUCUUCUCAUUACACCGUGUUGUGACUUUUUUCACCCAUAUUAUUUUCUGUCCAACGAACAUCAAAAAUAAAAAAAUACACCGUUUUAGCUUAAUUUUGCUAAAUGUAUGCUAAGAUUUUAGCUGACUAUGAAGGGAGACUGCGAAGUCCAAGUAAGAAGAUAGAAGAAAUUAGCGCUCACAGCGUACGAUAGAGAAACCAAACCUUGCAAAAAAACUAAGCAAUUUUGAGUAGAAUAAUACAGGGAGUCCCGGCUUGAGUGAAAACGUAUUAAAAGAAUUUGAUAUGAAUUGGGAGCUCAUUUAUAAAAUAAUUUUUGUAUGCAAAUAUUUCUCACGAGGUAAAUUUGAAAUGCAUUUCUUAUGACCCUGUUGGCCCUGAUAAUAGGCCGAAAAAUUGUCGCCUACAAUAUUUUGCAUACAUCACGGCGUCUCCGUAACUUAUUACAAAUACAUAUCUCCUGCAGGUAUGCAAUUUUUCUGUACUACUAAAGUAAAUUCCCGGGCUUUUUUUCGGUCUCGAAGUUUCCUUUGAAAGAGACACUUUCUGGUAAUCCUGAAUAUCUUUUUAAGAAGAAAAUUCGUCUUUUACCGCAUAGAUGUAAAUCACCGUCAAUUUGUGCUGAGCCGAGAUGUACAUGUUUUUUUCCGUACCAUUCCGAGCCACCAUCUCCACGACUUACAUUUCCGUUACAUUUUGUAAAGUUUCUCCAUUGUUCGGUUGUAAUGGACGUAUACAACCGAGUUUGCUUCCUGGAAAGGGCAUAAAGCAGUUCCAAGAGUCGUUCGACAGAGGAGAGGGCAGAAAUCAGGCUAUGCAUUUAAUUAAUUUAGAAAAAAAACACUUCUUUCCGUUAUCGUUUCGACAUAUUUCUUACAUUGUAUAAUCAUAGCAAUUGAUUGAUAUCCCGUAUUUUAAGUAAACUGCAAAGUUUAUAGUUAAAAAAGGAUCGGUUAUGAACUGGUUUAUUACAGGUUCAUAACCGAUUGGAAUCAGUUCAGGCUUGUCAGGAAUUCGAAGACCUUUCAAGUGCACUUAAACAUGAUACCAUUUGGUUGACAAAUACGGUCUUUUGAGACUUUUUAACCUUUGACCUUGAAAAACCAUUAUUAGGAACGAGAUUCAACGAGAUUUUCGUAUAAGGACGAAAUGUUCGUAUGACGUCUUUUCGAGCAAUCCCAAAACAAACAUGGUUUUGAACAGGAAUAGGAGGGUUGGGGAGGGGGGAAAUGAGGGACAUGUCAACGAUCUUUGGGUUGACUUAUGGGGGGGUCCCCCGAAAUUUUACUGCACGAGUUUCGUGCAGUAAAACUUUCCUAAAAUGAUCCCCAGAGAAUGAUAAAGCAGUUAAUUAUCGAGACGAUCCUUUUGAAAACAUUCACAUUAGGUUCCCUGAAAGUAUCACGUCAGUUUCAAACUGAAUCAUAUUUUACUACCCCCUUUAGCUCUCACUUAACACUUUUCGGUGUUUUUUUUCUGGAUCAAACCGUUGUGGAAAUUUCUAAAUAGCAAGUUAAACACUUCAAAUUAUAAUUAACAAUAAAUAUGAAAAAAAAAUUCUGAAUGACCUAAAAAUUUUGCUAAAUAUUCUGCUGAAAUAUGCUUAAUAUUCAGUGAGGUUUAGUUCCCCUAUCAUCCGCUGAGAACGCUGAUAUUCCAAUUCAUAUUUCAUCGUAGUAGUUUUUCUUUUAGAGAACUGCUAAACAUUUAGCACUCAUUUAGCAAAAUUAUGCUAAAAACGUGUACUUUCCUUGUUGGGCGUUCGCUGGGAUCUUUCUUUAUGUUCAAAUUCAAUUUUCAUGCACGCAAAAAAAAGAGACACCGUUACACAAUACUCAGUGCAACAAAUAUGAUUUUCAAUCAAUUUCUAUCUCUCCCUCUCAUUAAAUACGUAAUUAUAUUAUGAGUUACUACAUACAAUAGAGAAUAUACUUUUGUUGUCUUCAUCUUUUUCUCCACAAAAUCUCCCACUUGCAGGUUUAAUUUUAAA